AACAAAGAAGCAUCAUUUUGGUUCAGUAAUUAGUUUGACCUAGCUCUCCUCAAAAUUCACCACAAAUGAGCUCCUCAGGCUCCUCAGUAAGAAAAUGGAUAGACUCAUGCGUCAAACAGAUGCAUUUGCCACUUCAGCAGAUGUCCAAGGAACACUCAACUUGCCUGAUACUCCUUGAAUUAUAAUUCUUGGUCAAACUCUAAGCAACCAGCAGUGGAUGGUGAGCAUUGGAGGUCACGUUGUACGUGAGGGAACGCAACCCAGCUUUGUCUGUGGCCAUGCUGCUGUGUUUGCUUCAUGUUACAAUUUCAACCUCCAAUAUAGGAAGAGACCGCAUGCACCCUUGAUUUUGUUCAAAGGUAAAAUAUUGGCUUAUUCCAUGCAUACAUUUUCAUUAAAACUGACUUACACUUCCAUCAGACUUUAUUACACACUGCCUGUAAAAUGUUUGCACAUUACUCUUAGACAUACAGUAAGCUUAUUCUCCCUCUCAUGCCCUAUUAUACUUUUGUAACACACUAUUAACCACCCUGACACAAACCAUGAUAUUUUUUCUAUAAAUUA